CUACGGGAGGCAGCAGUGGGGAAUAUUGGACAAUGGGCGCAAGCCUGAUCCAGCCACGCCGCGUGAGUGAUGAAGGCCUUCGGGUCGUAAAGCUCUGUGGGGAGGGACGAACCGCCGGCGGUGCAUAGCCGACGGCAUGACGGUACCUCCUUAGCAAGCACCGGCUAACUUCGUGCCAGCAGCCGCGGUAAUACGAAGGGUGCAAACGUUGCUCGGAAUCAUUGGGCGUAAAGCGCACGUAGGCGGCUUGCCAAGUCGGACGUGAAAUCCCUCAGCUCAACUGAGGACGUGCAUCCGAAACUGGCGAGCUUGAGUGCUGAAGAGGAUCGCGGAAUUCCCGGUGUAGAGGUGAAAUUCGUAGAUAUCGGGAGGAACACCAGUGGCGAAGGCGGCGAUCUGGGCAGACACUGACGCUGAGGUGCGAAAGCGUGGGGAGCAAACAGGAUUAGAAACCCCGGUAGUCC
rnacentral:rRNA from 1 species